GAUGAACGCUGGCGGCGUGCCUAAUACAUGCAAGUCGAGCGAACGGACGAGAAGCUUGCUUCUCUGAUGUUAGCGGCGGACGGGUGAGUAACACGUGGAUAACCUACCUAUAAGACUGGGAUAACUUCGGGAAACCGGAGCUAAUACCGGAUAAUAUUUUGAACCGCAUGGUUCAAAAGUGAAAGACGGUCUUGCUGUCACUUAUAGAUGGAUCCGCGCUGCAUUAGCUAGUUGGUAAGGUAACGGCUUACCAAGGCAACGAUGCAUAGCCGACCUGAGAGGGUGACCGGCCACACUGGAACUGAGACACGGUCCAGACUCCUACGGGAGGCAGCAGUAGGGAAUCUUCCGCAAAGGGCGAAAGCCUGACGGAGCAACGCCGCGUGAGUGAUGAAGGUCUUCGGAUCGUAAAACUCUGUUAUUAGGGAAGAACAUAUGUGUAAGUAACUGUGCACAUCUUGACGGUACCUAAUCAGAAAGCCACGGCUAACUACGUG
rnacentral:rRNA from 1 species